UUCCAAUUGCUUCUCUAAUUCAAUAGCUUAUAAAUUGAUAUAAUCAGCAGAAGAAUUUGUAAUACUCUGAUUAGCUGAGUAUAGUAUUGGCUCAGAGAACAAAAAGAAUAUGUAAUCUGUAAUUUAACUUACUUUAGAUCUCUUAGCUAAAUAAUUUUAAUCGGCCCCAAAUUAGAGAUGAUAGAUGAUUAUUUGUUUUAUGCUUCUAAGCCUCGAGUACUUGUGCCGGCUAAGUGAUCUUGCUUCUGCUAUGUGAUGUUUGGUUUAGUUUUUUGUGAUCUUGCAUUCUGUUAUGUGAUGUUUGAUUUAGUUUCGUGUGAUCUUGCUUUCUGUUAUGUGCUGUUGGAUUUAGUUUUGUGUGAUAUUUUGCUUUUGUUAUUGAUGUUUGGUUUGGUUUUGUCAUAUAACAUCUCUCUUUAUCUCCAUGCUACAAGCUUUUGCUUUGAUACUUACAGUGUCAAAAAGAAAAGAUUGAGCUAACUUCAAGUAAUACUUAGCUUUUCAACUUUUCUCUGGUUAAGAAUUUUGAGAUGCUACAGAAGCGUCUUUGCACAGCAAGCCUAUCUUCUACAUCCAUUUCCUGGGGUUCAAAUGCAGUUAAUGGGAAUGCAUCAACAAGUGGUUCCAUUAUAAUAUGAUGCAGUCGAGGAGCCUGUUUUUGUUAACGCAAAGCAAUACCACGGUAUACUCAGGCGUAAGCAAUACCACGGUAUACUCGGAACAGAGCCGUGAAGUCAAAGAAGCCAUAUAUGCAUGAAUCUCGGCAUUUGCAUGCGAUAAACCGGCUAAGAGGAUGUGGAGGCCGGUUUCUCAAUGCCAAGAAGAAGAAUGGAGGCGCCGUAAGGAUGAGGAGGAGGAGGAUACAACCUCUAAUGAGAACACUUCAGAAGCAAGUUCCAGCCUCAGAUCUGAGAAGUCAGCCAUCGCUCCUAAUGGUAGAUCUUGAGUACAAGGUCAUGCACAACAACCACAUGUUUAGUUUUAUAUUUUGGGUGGAUGUUUGUAUCAGUAAAGAACUGUUUUGGACUCUCUCUGUAGACUGUGUAUAGGUUAUUUAUUGCUUGGAACAGAUAAGUAAAUGGUGUUUCCUCUGCUGCAGUUGGUCUUCACUCAAAGGAGUCACGUGGUACUGGACCUGUUGAUAAAUCACACAGCCUUUUUGAGCCAGAGUACGGUGAUGGCGGCUGUCACUUCCUUACUCAGUUAUGGAAUACACAUUGGAGUUUUAGUCCGAGGGAAGAAGGUUAGAGAUGAGAACAAGUCACAACUCUCUAUCACAGAGUGGUCGUUCAUGUAGAGAAAAUCAAGGCAACCUAGGCUUCACCUUGGAGCUUUGUCCCGGAAAAAUGUAUGUACCUCUGAAGAUCUUAUCAUUUCUAAUCCAACUGAUUCCACAAGGAGAAUUGGAGUGUUACAAGCUUUGUACGAAAUUUGGUUUAUUAUUGUUGUUAGGAAAAACAAGCUAAUAUAGUAAAAGUUUUUCAAUGUUUUUGUUAUCAGGUAUGUUAUUAAUUUUGUUUGAGGCUGGAAAACUUCCAAGUUUAGUUUUAUUGAAUUUAUUAUAUAAGUUUUUUUGUUUAA